GUGGUGUGUGUGUACCGUCACGUGGAGUUCUUCGUCUCGUGGUGUCCCAUCGAUCCGAUCGUCAUUGUUACCGCUACCGUUCCCACGGGUAGGAGUAGCGCCACCGAGAGCACCGGCGUCGCCGGAGCACGUCGCGGACCCUCGGGUGGUAGGCAUACGGCUGCCGCCUCCGACGCCGACGACGCCAGCUGCUACGGCACCGCGGCGAGUAGGUGCGCGACGCGGGCGACGACCCGAGGUCGCCUCUCGAGCCGUCGGCGCCGCCGCACGGCACGCUGUCGACCUCCGAUCCGCACCUCCGCAUGUUGCACGCACUGACCUUCUGACAGGGACGGUUGACGCUCCCGAUGCACCCCGUGAUGUACGAGCCGUCGGUGAAGGCCGCGCUGAGGUUCCAGCAGUAGCUGGUCCGGUAACGGAUGCAGCUGUCGGAGUUCGAGCGACCGUUGCCGUUCCUCCACACCCAGAAGCUGUAGCUGCUCUGGUGCGAGAGGUUGGAGGGAAUGAUGCGGUGCGUGCCGAAACCCCGAUCCGGUAUGUUGCGCUGCUCGAAGCUGCGCAUGCACGACCUCCCCUGGCGCGGCCGCGACGGCCUCUCAUUCGCCGACAUGAUGUUCGACGAGUUCCAGCCGUAGUUCGGCCACAAGUAGUGUCCGGCCUGCCUUCUGUUCUCCCGCUAGUGGCACCGGUUGGAGGCGUCGGUCCCGUAGAGGCCCACCUACUUGGACUGCGAGUUCGUCGGGCCCAAGGUACCGAGGCGCUAUAGGAUGUUCAGGCGGCUCUCCUUCUUCGACGUCCUGCGGCCCAUGCAGUAGCAACCGUUGUAGCCGCUGGUCACCUCGCUGGAGGAACCGCGCGGUCUCCCUCGAGCAUGGAAGUUCGACGGACUGGGGGACAUGAUGUAGCCGAUUCGGACGCCGGUAACUAACGAGCUUACGAGCACCAGGUGCUUAUUCGAGGUACGAGAAUUAUUAAUAGACGUACGACCUACGUAGUUAUUAUUCGGAGACAC
rnacentral:rRNA from 1 species